ensembl:rRNA 5S_rRNA 5S ribosomal RNA
ACAGACCAUACCACCCUGAACGCACCCGAUCUCGUCUGAUCUCGGAAGCUAAGCAGGGUCGGGCCUGGUUAGUACUUGGAUGGAAGACAAAAUAGGUAGAAAUCUUGA